rnacentral:lncRNA from 1 species
UGCUCACCACCGGUCCUUCCAGCUCCUAACACACUUCAACACACAUUGAUACGAAACAGCCGCUACUCAGUUAAACAACGAAACUGAGGUAUCACCCAGGCACCUCUGUAAACUAGGACAUGGGUACAAAUUUUCAAGCUUGGAUUAAUGGCAGGAGGCGAGAGAGGCAACAGAGCAGUCGAAGCCAGGCAGCUCCUCACCUCUCACAGCAUGAGUCAAGAGCGGGCAUCUUGUGUUGAUGAAUCACACAGAGCAUGACAAGACCCAGCACGUGAACGACAGCCGCCAGCCACCGUGGGCUAGGUGAGGCAGGCCUGGUGUGCGGCUUCCUCUACUGGCUGACACUUGGCCAAACAAUUGGCUUUUUUCCCCUCCCUUCUAAACCACAUUGCACUCCUCUGAUUAAAGUGAAAGCAUAAAGGGUC